rnacentral:rRNA from 1 species
AGAGUUUGAUCCUGGCUCAGAGCGAACGCUGGCGGCAGGCCUAAUACAUGCAAGUCGAACGCACCUUCGGGUGAGUGGCGGACGGGUGAGUAACACGUGGGAACGUGCCCUUUGGUUCGGAAUAAUCCGGGGAAACCUGGCCUAAUACCGGAUGUGCCCUUCGGGGGAAAGAUUUAUCGCCAUUGGAGCGGCCCGCGUCUGAUUAGCUAGUUGGUGGGGUAAUGGCCCACCAAGGCGACGAUCAGUAGCUGGUCUGAGAGGAUGAUCAGCCACACUGGGACUGAGACACGGCCCAGACUCCUACGGGAGGCAGCAGUAGGGAAUCUUGCGCAAUGGGCGAAAGCCUGACGCAGCCAUGCCGCGUGAAUGAUGAAGGUCUUAGGAUUGUAAAAUUCUUUCAGCGGGGAAGAUAAUGACUGUACCCGCAGAAGAAGCUCCGGCUAACUUCGUGCCAGCAGCCGCGGUAAUACGAAGGGGGCUAGCGUUGCUCGGAAUUACUGGGCGUAAAGGGCGCGUAGGCGGGCGUUUAAGUCAGAGGUCAAAUCCCAGGGCUCAACCCUGGAACUGCCUUUGAUACUGGGCGCCUAGAGUGCGGGAGAGGUGUGUGGAACUCCGAGUGUAGAGGUGAAAUUCGUAGAUAUUCGGAAGAACACCAGUGGCGAAGGCGACACACUGGCCCGUUACUGACGCUGAGGCGCGAAAGCGUGGGGAGCAAACAGGAUUAGAUACCCNNGUAGUCC